GCCCACUCUUUCAGCCAUGGCCGCCGCAGCAGCAGGCUCCUGUUCCGAGCACCCAGAGGGAUUCGGGAAACCACCAGAGAGAAUGAAGGGGAUUCAAGGGACCUGACACUCUAAUUAGCACGAUUAGUGUUAAUUAAGGCUACCGACACCUCGGCCCCUCAUCUCCCACCGCUGAAAUUCCAUGGGAGCGCCGUGAUGCGAGACACGGAGCUGCAUCGAGGCAGGAUUUAUUUGUCGACCCCACCUGGCCAGGCUCCCUCUAUGGUGAUCCAGAGGGAUUCAGGAAGCCGCACCAGGGAGGAGAAAGUGGGUGCGAUGCUCUUGUCACUGUAAUUAACCCAAUUCGGGUUAAUUAACGCUGCUAGCAUAGGGUGUGUGCUGGGUGUCAGCUGCCAAGGCCUCAGCCCAUCCCACCCUUCCUGCACCAGAGCCCUUAUCCCACAGGGGUUUAUCCAUGGAUGGAAGGAGAAGCUGGAGCAGCAUGGCAGAUUCCCUGUGGAAGAACAAGGUGGAUGCAGUGACACCAAAGCCAGGGAAUUAAACGUGAACCUAUCAUUUUUCCAUGUUUUGAUUCCAAAGCCUUUUUACUUUCUGGUAAAAAGGGAUACAAGUUCAGUGGGAGGGGAAGGAGAUUCUCCAGGUGCUGCAGCAGAGAUUCCUCAGGGAAACAGGGGCCUACCCUGUGUCCCCAUGUGCCAGGCUCAGAUGGCCCCUGUGGCCCCGUUUCCCUGAACCACAGUGUCCCCAGUGUCCUUGGGUCCUGCUGUCCCCAGUCCCUGAUGGAGUGGCUGGGACUUGGCGUGCUGUUCCCAGCUGGAAUAAGGUGGCUCUGGUGUGCUCCUGCUGAGGUCUUGGAAGCUGCUGAGGAGCUGCUCCUGUACUAGAACCCAUUAAAUAGCUCUGUUAAUGGCUCAAAUGAUUAAAUAAAUGGAUCAGUUAAUUAACGGA